UGAUUCAUGAGGUUCUCCCAUGAGGGGUGGUCAUGAAGGCCCUGGCCUAGGUCAGUGACUUCCAUUGCACUUUAGAGGGUUGUUGUCCUAAGGUCUCCCCAACAUGGGAGAGCCUAUGUCAUAAUUUGUGGAAGUGGAGGCCUGCGUUCGCGCUGCCCUAUG